CCUGGUCAGUGUCCAGGACCGGUCCCCGCCCUUGGCGUGCGUGGCCAGUAAUGGCCGGGUGCGAAGCCCAGGGGAAAGCCCAAGGGC
rfam:Micromonospora sp. CB01531 scaffold70, whole genome shotgun sequence.